UACGGGGGGGGCAAGCGUUGUUCGGAAUUACUGGGCGUAAAGGGCUCGUAGGCGGCCAACUAAGUCAGACGUGAAAUCCCCAGGCUCAACCUGGGAACUGCGUCUGAUACUGGAUGGCUUGAAUCCGGGAGAGGGAUGCAGAAUUCCAGGUGUAGCGGUGAAAUGCGUAGAUAUCUGGAGGAAUACCGGUGGCGAAGGCGGCACCCUGGACCGGCAUUGACGCUGAGGAGCGAAAGCCAGGGGAGCAAACGGG
rnacentral:rRNA from 1 species